GACGAACGCUGGCGGCGUGCUUAACACAUGCAAGUCGAACGGAAAGGCCCUGCUUUUGUGGGGUGCUCGAGUGGCGAACGGGUGAGUAACACGUGAGUAACCUGCCCUUGACUUUGGGAUAACUUCAGGAAACUGGGGCUAAUACCGGAUAGGAGCUCCUGCUGCAUGGUGGGGGUUGGAAAGUUUCGGCGGUUGGGGAUGGACUCGCGGCUUAUCAGCUUGUUGGUGGGGUAGUGGCUUACCAAGGCUUUGACGGGUAGCCGGCCUGAGAGGGUGACCGGCCACCUUGGGACUGAGAUAGGGCCCAGAAUCGUACGGGAGGCAGUAGUGGGGAAUAUUGCACAAUGGGCGGGAGCCUGAUGCAGCAGCGCCGCGUGCGGAAUGACGGCCUUCGAGUUGUAAACCGCUUUCGCCUGUGACGAAGCGUGAGUGACGGUAAUGGGUAAAGAAGCACCGGCUAACUACGUG
rnacentral:rRNA from 1 species